GACGAACGCUGGCGGCGUGCCUAAUACAUGCAAGUCGAGCGGAAUGAUGAAGAAGCUUGCUUCUUCUGAUUUUAGCGGCGGACGGGUGAGUAACACGUGGGCAACCUACCUUGUAGAUUGGGAUAACUCCGGGAAACCGGGGCUAAUACCGAAUAAUCCAUUUUGCUUCAUGGCGAGAUGUUGAAAGACGGUUUCGGCUGUCACUACAAGAUGGGCCCGCGGCGCAUUAGCUAGUUGGUAGGGUAAUGGCCUACCAAGGCGACGAUGCGUAGCCGACCUGAGAGGGUGAUCGGCCACACUGGGACUGAGACACGGCCCAGACUCCUACGGGAGGCGGCAGUAGGGAAUCUUCCACAAUGGACGAAAGUCUGAUGGAGCAACGCCGCGUGAGUGAAGAAGGUUUUCGGAUCGUAAAACUCUGUUGUAAGGGAAGAACACGUACGAGAGUAACUGCUCGUACCUUGACGGUACCUUAUUAGAAAGCCACGGCUAACUACGUG
rnacentral:rRNA from 1 species